rnacentral:rRNA from 1 species
AUUGAACGCUGGCGGCAUGCCUUACACAUACAAGUCGAACGGUAACGGGCCUUCGGGUGCCGACGAGUGGCGAACGGGUGAGUAAUACAUCGGAACGUGCCUGAUCGUGGGGGAUAACGAGGCGAAAGCUUUGCUAAUACCGCAUACGAUCUACGGAUGAAAGCAGGGGACCGCAAGGCCUUGCGCGGACGGAGCGGCCGAUGGCAGAUUAGGUAGUUGGUGGGAUAAAAGCUUACCAAGCCGACGAUCUGUAGCUGGUCUGAGAGGAUGAUCAGCCACACUGGGACUGAGACACGGCCCAGACUCCUACGGGAGGCAGCAGUGGGGAAUUUUGGACAAUGGGCGCAAGCCUGAUCCAGCCAUGCCGCGUGCAGGAUGAAGGCCUUCGGGUUGUAAACUGCUUUUGUACGGAACGAAAAGCCUUCUUUUAAUACAGGAGGGUCAUGACGGUACCGUAAGAAUAAGCACCGGCUAACUACGUG